rnacentral:tRNA from 1 species
UCCCCGGUAGCUCAAUGGUAGAGUAGGUGGCUGUUAACCACUUGGUUGUAGGUUCGAAUCCUACCCGGGGAGCCA